UACGGAGGGGGCUAGCGUUGUUCGGAAUUACUGGGCGUAAAGCGCGCGUAGGCGGACCUGCAAGUCGGGGGUGAAAGCCCGAGGCUCAACCUCGGAACUGCCUGCGAUACUGCGGGUCUCGAGUCCGGGAGAGGUGAGUGGAAUUCCUAGUGUAGAGGUGAAAUUCGUAGAUAUUGGGAAGAACACCGGUGGCGAAGGCGGCGAGCUGGUCCAUUACUGACGCUGAGGCGCGACAGCGUGGGGAGCAAACAGG
rnacentral:rRNA from 1 species